rnacentral:lncRNA from 1 species
CUAUCAGCCAGGAAAUUGAAAACAUCUGACUUGUGAGGUGACUAUAGCAGAUCCCCAAAAAAAUGACCACUUAUUGAGCACAUGCCAUGCGCCAGGAACUCUCAAAAUCCUACAACAUAUGUGCUAAUAUGAUAAUGUUACAAUGGUAGAAAUUCAGAUUACUGGCAGGCAAGAUUUAAAUUUUCCAAUAGCCCAUGUACUUCUCACUUCACAAACAAGGAUGAGGGAAGAAUCCACAGUCUCGGGAUAAAGAUGUGAGUAUAGGAGGGUGCUAAGCAUGGGGAAGAAAUCUGGGAUUUUGCUGCGAUUUUUGCUGUCUCAUUCAACAACUUCCCGUAACUUCACACAGCCCUUCCAUAUGACUAAAUACAGCCACUUCCCGUGACCUCAAGCAGCCCUUCCUGUGACUUCAUACGGCCACUUCCAGUGACUUCACACAGCCCUUCCUGUGACAUCACACUGAAUCUUCCUGUGACUUAACACUACUUCUUCCCGUGACUUCCCACCUUCCUGUGGCUUCACCCUGGCCCUUCCUGUGGCUUCGCACUGGCCCUUCCUGUGGCUUCACACAGUCCCUUCUUGUGACUUCCCACAGCCUCUUCCUGUGACUUCACACUAUCCCUCCCUGAGACUUCUCCUUGCCCUUCCCUGUGGCUUCAGACGGCCCCCUGUGGCUUCACGCUGCCCCUUCCUGUGGCUUCACACAGCCCCUUCUUGUGACUUCACACAGCCUCAUCCUGUGACUUCACACUGCCUUUUUCUGUGACUUCACACUGCCCCUCCCUGUGACUUCCCAUUGCCCCUUCCUGUGGCUUCACACUGCCCCUUCCUGUGAUUUCCCACUACCCCUUCCUCCCUUCCUGUGACUUCCUACUGCCCCUUCCUGUGGCUUCACAGGGCCCCUUCCUGUAGCUUGACACAGCCCCUGUGACCCCACACUAGCCCUUACUGUGAACUCACACAGCCCUUUCUUGUGACUUCACACAGCCCCUUCCUAUGACUUCACACUGCCCCUUCCCAUGACUUCCCACUGCCCCUUCCUAUGACUUCACACUGCCCCUUCCCGUGACUUCCCACUGCCCCUUCCUAUGACUUCACACUGCCCCUUCCUGUGACUUCACACUGCCUCUACCUGUGACUUCACAUUGCCCCUUCCUGUGACCUCACACUGCCAAUUCAUGUGAUUUCACACUAUCCCUCCCUGUGACUUCACACUACCCUUCCUGUGACCUAACACUGCCCCUUCCUGUGACUUCACACUGCCUCUGUGACUUCACACUGCCUCUAUCUGUGAUUUCACACUGCCCCUUCCUGAGACCUCACAAUGCCACUUCAUGUGACUUCACAAUGCCCCUUCCUGUGGCUUCACACAACACUUCCUGUGACUUUACAUGGUCCUGUCCUGUGACCUAACAGCCCCUUCCAGUGGCUUCACACAGACCCUUCCUGUGAAAUCACACAGCCCCUUUCUGGGACUUCACACAGCCCCUUCCUGGGACUUCACACAGCCCCUUCAUGGGAUUUUACACUGCACCUUCCUGUGACUUCCCACUGCCCAUUCCUGUGGCUUCACAUAGCCCCUUCCUAUGACUGCCUAUGGCCCCUUCCUGUGACAUUCCACUGCCCCUUCCUGUAACUUCCCACCGUCCCUUCCUGUGGCUUCACACAGACUCUUCCUGUGACUUCACAUAGCCACUUCCUGUGACUUCCCACUGCCGCUUCCUAUGACUUCACUCAGCCACUUGCUGUGGCUUCCCACUUCCCCUUCCUGUGACUUCCCAUGGCCCAUUCCAGUGGCUUCAAACAGCCCCUUCCUGGGACCUCACACAGCCCCUUCCUGUGAACUCUCACAGCCCCUUCCAGUGGCUUCACACAGCCCUUCCCUGUGACCUCACACAGCCCCUUCCUGACGCUUCACAAAGCCCCUUCCUGGGGCUUCACAUUGCCCCUUCCUGUGACUUUACACUGCCCUUCCUGUCAUGUCACACUGCUCCUUCCUGUGGCUUCACACAGCCUCUACCUGUGUCUUCACAGGGACACUUCUGGCAUGUUCACACUGCCUCUGCCUGUGGCUUCACACAGCCUGUUUCCCUGUCAUCACAGCCCCUACCUAUGGCUUCACACAGCCUGUUUCCCUGUCAUCACAGCCCCUUCCUGUGUCCUCACACUUCCCCUUCUUGUGGCUUCACACAGCCUCUACCUGAGACUUCACACUGCCCCUUCCUAUGACUUCACACUGCCUCUUCCUGUAACGUCACACAGCCACUUCCUGUGACUUCCUAUGCCCCUUCCCGGGGCUUCACACAGCCCCUUCCUGUGACCUCACAUUGCCACUUCUGCCCUCACACAGCCCCUUUCUGUGACUUCACAGAGCCCCUCCCUGUGACUUCACACUGGCCCUCCAUGUGACUUCCCAAACCCCAUCCUGUGGCUUCACACAGACCCUUCCUGUGGCUUCACACAGACCCUUCCUGUGGCUUUACACUGCCCCUUCCUUUGGAAUUCGCACUGCUCCUUCCUGUGACUUCCCACUGCCCCUUCCUGUGAUGUCAUACUGCCCCUCCCUGUUAUUUCACACCACCCUGCCCCUUUCUGUGACUUCCCACAGCCCCUUCCUGUGACUUCACACUGCCCCUACCUGUGAUGUCACAGAGCCCCUUCCUGUGGCUUCACACUGCCCCUCCUAGUGGCUUCACACAGCCACUUCCUGUGACUUCACCCAGCCCCUUUCUGUGACUUCUCACUGUCCCUUCCUGUGGCUUCACACAGUCCCUUCCUGUGACCUCAAAUUCCCACUUCCUGUGACCACACAAGCCCCUUCCAGUAGCUUCACACUGCCCAUUCCCAGGGCGUAAAACAGCCUCUUCCUGUGAUUUCACAGUGCCUCUUCCUUUGGCUUCACACAGCCCCUUCCUAUGACUUCCCAUUGGCCUUUCCUGUAGCUUCACACCACCGCUUCCAGUGACUUCACAUUGCCCAUUCCUGUGAUAUCAAAGUGCCCUUUCCUGUGGCUUCACACAGAACCCUGCCUGUGACUUCAUACCACGCCUUCCUAUGACUUCAUACUGUCUCUUCCUGUGACUUCACAUGGCCACUUCUUGUGACUUCCCAUAGCCACUCAUUCUGACUUCCCACUGUCCCAUACUGCGACUUCACAAAGCCACUUCCUGUGACUCCCUGCAGCCCCUUCCUGCAACUUCCCACAGCCACUUCCUGUGACUUCCCAAUGCCCCUUCCUGUGGCUGCACAAUGCCCCUCCUUUUGGCUUCACACUACCCUCCCUGUGGCUUCACACUGCCUCUUCCUGUGACGUCACACUGCCCCUUCUGUGGCUUCAGACUGCCCCUUCUUGUGGCUUCACACUGGCCUUUCCUGUGACUUCACACAGCUUCUUCCUCUGACUUCACACCAUCCCUUCCUUUGACAUCCCACUGCCUCUUCCUGUGACUUCAGACAGCCCCUUCCCAUGACUUCACACUCCUUCUUCCCGUGACUUCUCACUGACCCUGCCUGUGGCUUCACACAGCACCUUCCUGUGACUACCCCCUGUCCCUACCUGUGACUUCACACAGCCCCUUCCUGUGACUUCACACUGUGCCUUCCUGUGGUUUAACACUCCCCCUUCCUGUGGCUUCACACAGCCCCUUCCUGUGACUUCCUACUGCCCCUUCCUGUGGCUUCACACAGUCCCUUCCUGUGGCAUCACACCACCUCUUCCUGUGACUUCACACUACCCCUUCCUGCCGCUUUUCAAAGCCCCAUUCUGUGGCUUCACACAGCCCCUUCCUGUGGCUUCACAUUACCCUUCCUGUGACUUCACACUGCCUCUUCCUGUGACUUCCAACAGCCACUUCUUGUGACUUCCCACUGCCCCUUCCUGUGGUUUCACAAAGCCCCUGCCUGUGAACUCACACUGCCACUUCCUCUGACCUCACCUAGCCCCUUUGUGUGAGUUCAUACAGCCACUUCCUGUGACUUCACGUAGCCCCAUCCAGUGGCUUUACCCAGUUCCUUCCUGUGAUAUCACACUACCCUGUCCUGUGACUUCCCACAGCCCCUUCCUGUGACUUCACACAGCACCUUCCUGUAACUUCCCACUGCACAUUCUGGUGGCCUCACACUGCCCCUUUCUGUGACUUCCCACUGUCCCUUCCUGUUGCUUCACACUGCCACUUCUUUGGCUUCACAAUACCCCUCCCUGUGGCUUCACAAUGCCUGUUCCUGUGACUACCCACUGCCUCUUCCUGUGGCUUCACACAGCCCCUUCCUGUGACUUGACACAGCCCCUUGCUGUUACUUCCCACUGCACCUUCUUGUAACUUCCUACUGCCCAUUCCUGUGGCCUCACACUGCCCCUUCCUGUGACUUCACAGCACCCCUUGCUGUGGUUUCACACGGCCCCUUCCUUUGACUUCACACUGCCUCUGUGACUUCUCACUGCCCCUUCCUGUGGAUUCACAGAGCCUCUACCUGCGAUUUCACACUGCCCAUUCCUGUGGCUUCACAUUGCCUCUUCCUGUGACUUCCCACAGCCACUCCCUGUGACUUCUCACUGCCCCUUCCAGUGACUUCACACAGCCCCUUCCUGUGACCUCAUACUGCCCCUUCCUGUGACUUCACACUGCCCCUUUCAGUGGCUUCACACACUCCUUCUUGUGACUUUCCACUGCCCCUUCCUGUGACUUCCCUCUGCCCCUCCCUGUGACUUCCCACAGCUCAUUCCCGUGAUUUCCCAUGCCCCUUCCUGUGGCUUCACAAAGCCCCUUCUGUAACUUCACACUGCCUCUUCCUGUGAUUCACACAGCCCCUUCCUGUGGCUUCACACUGCUUCUUCCUGUGGCCUCACACAACCCCCCUUUCUCUGACUUCACACAGCCCCUUCCUAACGUCACACUGCCUCUUCCUGUGGCUUCAUACUGACCCUGUGGCUUCACACAGCCUCCUCCUGUGACUUCACACAGCCCCUUCCCUUGGCUUCACACAGUUCCUUCCUGUGAUGUCACGUAGCCCCUUUCUCUGGCUCCACACAGCCCCUUCCUGUGACUUCACAUAAUUUCUUCUUAUGACAUCUUCCAGCCCCUUCCUAUUGUUUCACACUGCUCCUUCCUGUGACUUCACUCUGCUUCUUCCUGUGACUUCACAUUGUCCCUUUCUGUGACUUCACACAGCCAUUUCCCAUGGCUUCACACAGCCUUGACUUGCUGCAAUUCAGUGUGUGCUAAAUCCUAGAAGCCAGCCCUGCCUUGUAAAUGACAGCCCACACAGUGGGUUCUUACAUACAGAAAAAGGUUCCUAUUUGCAAUAAAAAUCUCUUGUGAUCUCCUAACCAUUUUUUUUUUUUUUUUUUUUGAGAUGGAGUCUCACUCUGUCGCCAGGCUGGAGUGCAGUGGUGCGACCUCGGCUCACUGCAACCUCU